UGGGGAAUAUUGCACAAUGGGCGCAAGCCUGAUGCAGCCAUGCCGCGUGUAUGAAGAAGGCCUUCGGGUUGUAAAGUACUUUCAGCGGGGAGGAAGGGAGUAAAGUUAAUACCUUUGCUCAUUGACGUUACCCGCAGAAGAAGCACCGGCUAACUCCGUGCCAGCAGCCGCGGUAAUACGGAGGGUGCAAGCGUUAAUCGGAAUUACUGGGCGUAAAGCGCACGCAGGCGGUUUGUUAAGUCAGAUGUGAAAUCCCCGGGCUCAACCUGGGAACUGCAUCUGAUACUGGCAAGCUUGAGUCUCGUAGAGGGGGGUAGAAUUCCAGGUGUAGCGGUGAAAUGCGUAGAGAUCUGGAGGAAUACCGGUGGAGAAGGCGGCCCCCUGGACGAAGACUGACGCUCAGGUGCGAAAGCGUGGGGAGCAAACA
rnacentral:rRNA from 1 species